GGAGAGACAGAGGGACCAUCACACACAGAGAAAGAUGCAACAGAGAAGAAACUCCGGUUGAACUCACAAAGGCAGCAGCUCAGGGGUUUUGCAAAAGGAACAGACACACGAGCGCACAACCCUGCACCCUGCCAACGCCCCGAGUGAACCGGAACCUCCCAGCGCACUGUUCAGAAGGACUCCGACUCCCGGAUCGGAGAAGCAAUCCCAGGGCACGUGGGGAACGAAGCAGAGAUGCCUAGAUCUGCAGAGCGGGCCACUGUGCCUGGCUGGAUCCGGUCAGCACCCUGUCCCGCAGAACCCGCCGUGUGCUCCAGGACUAGCCGGGGUAGCUGUUGGAUGUGCCUGCAAGAGUCAAAAGCCAUACAAAGGAAUUACGGAGCCCACUGCUGAAAUGCAGCCACCUCUGGGAUGGCACACGACAACUACUUAACAGCACACAGCAACACUGCGCAACCACAGAGGCUAGGAGGAAUUGCUAGUGGGGCCCAGUAGCCCUCCCCGACAGGAGCACGCUAGUGGGCAAGGAUGCAAUACCAGGGGGAGGAAGCCUGGCCGACUGGGUAGGGCACUUCCUGUUCUGUCUCAGACUCCCUGAGUGACCUUGGGGACGUCACUUAGCCGCAUGGUGCCUCAUGUUCCCCAUCAGUAAAAUGGGGAUCUGUAGUCCCCUGUUCCACGGGCGUUGGUAACAUAAAUAUGUUAAAGAUUGCGAGGUGUUUACCUUCAGAUCCUGCGGUGCUGGGGGCCAGCUCUCUACCAAAGACAGGCAGACAAUGUCCUGACAUGCAUGGAACA